GCUAAUACCGCAUAAUAGUCGACACCGCAUGGUGUUGAUUUGAAAGACGCUUUCGGGUGUCACUGAUGGAUGGACCCGCGGUGCAUUAGCUAGUUGGUGAGGUAACGGCUCACCAAGGCCAUGAUGCAUAGCCGACCUGAGAGGGUGAUCGGCCACACUGGGACUGAGACACGGCCCAG
rnacentral:rRNA from 1 species